AUGGCAAUGCAAUUGUUCUACGGUCUACAACAUACACAAGACAAGUCCAAUGGAUUCUCCAGCUGUGAUCAUUCAUCUAUUUAUUGCAGGUCUCGUUGUACUGUACUCCCCAAUUUGUCUCGACUCUUGGAUCAGUUACUUGGUAGUAGUACAUCGGCGCCGCUGAGAUUGAUGACGGCUUAUGCUAUGAAGAAAUCCCUCCUCUUGCUGCUGCUCCUGAACUCCUGCUCACCGUCGUGCUCCGGCACCGGCACCGGCUCCAGCUCCGACGACGAGCCCGACGUCCGCUGCCUCAAGAGCUUCCUGCGCUCUGUGGUUGAUCCCGGCGGCGAACUGACAUCCUCGUGGAAUUUCGACAACGCCACAAAGGGCUACAUCUGCGGCUUCACCGGCGUGACGUGCUGGUCCGCCGACCAGAACAGGGUCUUGUCUCUGCGCCUCCAAGGCCCCUUUCCCCGGGGCCUGCGGGACUGCGCGAGCAUGACCGGCCGGCGCCCUCGACCUGUCGAGCAACAGUUUCGCCGGACCGGUCCCGGCGGACAUCUCGCUGCAGCUCCCGUUCAUAACGUCCCUUAA
rnacentral:rRNA from 1 species